AUAAUUUCAUUGAUCCAAAUCAUUCAAACUAAAUAUUAAUACAUAAAAUAAAACUUAUAAUUAAAAUAAACCAUAAAAUAAAAUCGUACUUUAGAAAUUAACUAAAAGUACUAAAACUUAAAAUGUUCGAUAAUACAAUUACAUAAAAAGAGUGCAAAUGAAAAUAUAAAAUGCAUUCCAUGAAGUAGAAAUAGUAGUGAUGUGAUAUGUAAAAACCUGUAAAAAUAAUACAAACAAUGUGAAUAACUAAAUGUAAAUAACUAAAAUAUUUAGUAUAUAAUAAAAAUGUAAAAUAAUAAAACUUACAGUUUGUGAUGCACUUUAAAGGAGAGGUUAGUCAUCGUGUUGUGGAUCAUAUUGGUGGCAUAAUUGACUUGUGUUAGUGGAAGCAUUGUCACGUUGCAACACUAAGACAAGUUGUUCCUUUAUUACCUUCAUUUCAUCCUCUAAGUGUGCAUACUUUUCACCCCACAUAUUAAAUUUUGCACGGAGUUGUUGAUUUUUAGUCAACUGAUCAGAUUGUGAAGUGCCCGAAAUAGAGGGUUGAGUGAGGGAAGAGACUCCUUGGCGGAAGUUAGCAGCCAAGUCUGUUGUACCAUACACUCGAACUCUACUCUUUCCUCUGGUUGAUUCAUUCCAAGUUUGAAGCUUUUUUGCUGGAUCAACUUGAUGGACAUGUGAUGGAGAUCAAGCUCAAGUGGACAUGGGGGCCAAUUAACAAGAUCAAGAAGAGGUAGAGGCGCAAAUAGAGGACGCCCAUGGAGGUCAAAGCCCACCUCAAAGGCUUACAAGAAGCAUGUUCAAAGCUUUAGGAGCUAAGGGACAAUUAUUUUCUCUUUUUGUAAUUUCUUUGGUUGAAGGUGCUUAGAGGGAAACAUUAGAAACCUCUAUUGUUAUAGCAUCUUUUAGUCUUUAGUUAGGAGCUUUAGGAGGGGGGUGUAUUAGUAGAUAGGUGUAGAAGUAAAUAAGGAGGUGCCAAGUGAGAGAAGGGAUCACACCUUCCUCAUGUCUUGUUUAGGCACCGGUUUUAGCUUCUUUUAGGAGGGAAUUUUGAAUUCUCUUAGUUUGAUUUUUCAGCACCUUAGGCUAUAAAUAUAGGUGUUGCCCUUGUACAUUUCAGAUUUGAAUUUAGACUAAAGAAACUAUACUCAAUUUUUGAGAGAGCAUUGGAGAGCUUUUGAGCCUUCUUCUCUAGUCUUAUCUUGAAGGAUCCAUGAUGUCCUCAAGUGGCGGCAGCACACUCAUCUAGGAGCAACCAUCCUUCUAGUGACGUGAUCAUNN
rnacentral:lncRNA from 1 species